rnacentral:tRNA from 1 species
GGGGGUGUAGCUCAGUGGUAGAGCACUUACCUAGCAUGCAUGAGGCCCUAGGUUUGAUUCCUAGCACUGCAA